rnacentral:rRNA from 2 species
GACGAACCGUCCAAACGUUAUUCGGAUUCACUGGGCUUAAAGGGUGCGUAGGCGGCUCAGAAAGUAGGGUGUGAAAGCCCUCGGCUCAACCGAGGAACUGCGCCCUAAACUACUGGGCUUGAGGAACGCAGAGGUAAGCGGAACUUACGGUGGAGCGGUGAAAUGCGUUGAUAUCGUAAGGAACACCAGGAGCGAAAGCGGCUUACUGGGCGUUUUCUGACGCUGAUGCACGAAAGCUAGGGGAGCGAACGGG